UCGUGCUAAGCGGGGAGGUAGCGGUGUCCUGUACUCGCAAUCCGCUCUAGCGAGGCUGAAUUCCCUCUCGAGGUUAGCAGACUGUAGGGUCUGCCUCAAGUAAGUGGUGUUGACGUCUGGGUCCUGCGCAAUGGGAAUCCAUGAACCAUGUCAGGUCCGGAAGGAAGCAGCAUUAAGUGGAACCUUCCAUGUGCCGCAGGGUCGCCUGGGCUGAGCUAACUGCUUGAGUAACGCUUAUGGCUGCUAAUCGACAGAGGGUGCACGG
rnacentral:SRP_RNA from 1 species